CAUGCAAGUCGAACGAAGUAGCAAUACUUAGUGGCAGACGGGUGAGUAACAUGUGGGUAUCUGCCCUUUGGCCUGGAAUAACACGAGGAAACUUGUGCUAAUACCAGAUAAGUCUUUACGGAGAAAGCUUUAUGCACCAUUGGAUGAGCCCGCACUUGAUUAGUUUGUUGGUGGGGUAAUGGCCUACCAAGACUAUGAUCAAUAGCUGAUUUGAGAGGAUGAUCAGCCACAUUGGGACUGAGACACGGCCCAAACUCCUACGGGAGGCAGCAGUGGGGAAUCUUGCACAAUGGAGGAGACUCUGAUGCAGCGAUGCCGCGUGAGUGAAGAAGGCCCUUGGGUUGUAAAGCUCUUUCGUCGGGGAAGAAAAUGACUGUACCCGAAUAAGAAGGUCCGGCUAACUUCGUGCCAGCAGCCACGGUAAUACGAAGGGACCUAGCGUAGUUCGGAAUUACUGGGCUUAAAGAGUUCGUAGGUGGUUGAAAAAGUUAGUGGUGAAAUCCCAGAGCUUAACUCUGGAACUGCCAUUAAAACUUUUCAGCUAGAGUAUGAUAGAGGAAAGCAGAAUUUCUAGUGUAGAGGUGAAAUUCGUAGAUAUUA
rnacentral:rRNA from 1 species